rnacentral:rRNA from 1 species
GAGGGGCAAGCGUUGUUCGGAAUUACUGGGCGUAAAGGGCGCGUAGGCGGCCUGUUAAGUCGAACGUGAAAUCCCCGGGCUCAACCCGGGAACUGCGUCCGAUACUGGCAGGCUUGAAUCCGGGAGAGGGAUGUGGAAUUCCAGGUGUAGCGGUGAAAUGCGUAGAUAUCUGGAGGAACACCGGUGGCGAAGGCGGCAUCCUGGACCGGUAUUGACGCUGAGGCGCGAAAGCCAGGGGAGCAAACGGGAUUAGAUACCCCGGUAGUCCUGGCCCUAAACGAUGAAUGCUUGGUGUGGCGGGUAUCGAUCCCUGCCGUGCCGAAGCUAACGCAUUAAGCAUUCCGCCUGGGGAGUACGGUCGCAAGGCUG